AAUGUCAGGGUUUGGGUUCACAUAGAUAUUUGAAUGAUGGCUUGAAAUUUUAGAUGUUAAAAUAAUUAAAAAUAAUCAAGUAGUAAUAAACUAUCACUUGGAAUGGUAGAGUUUGGAUUCAUAAUUCAAUUAUCUAUAUUCAUUGAACUUAUUUGGCUUAAAUCGUAAAAUUUUCAAGUACUCAGUUAUUAUUAAUUUACCAGGGUUUGGAUUACUAUUUCAAUUACCUACAUUCAUUGAACUAAGUUGUUUUCAAAUCCCCCAAAAUAAGAUUUUAAGUGUUAAAAUAACUCAAAAUCUUUAAAUAUAAGAAAUUAGUGCAGAGGGGAAUAAUACCCAAAAUCCCUUGUGCUUGAAUAAUUUAAUUGCAUGCUUGGUCAGAUCAUGGGAAUUUAUGAAAGUAUUUAAAUAGUUCAUAGAUUUUUUUUUAACUCUUUUUUUUUAAUUAUUGAGGUUGUUUUGUUAUGAAUUGUUGUUUUUCUUUUGGUAAACUUUGAUACAUUUAAUUUCUUUCGCUAAACGAAAGUGAAUAACAAUUGUGAAUGUAUAGGUAAAAUUAGGUAAACUUGACAAAAUAAGGUUUGAGAGACACAAUUUCCUACACUGAGGGCAGGGGCGGACUUACCCUUUAGGCAAAGGUAGGCGACUGCCUUGGGCCCCCAAAAGCCAAGGGGCCCCCUAAAAUGGUUUUCAUAUACGAGAUGCGCAUUAAGCGCGGACACGCGAACGGUUGCUGUUUACGGUGUUUAUUACCAUGACAUCCGUCUGCGUGUCCGAGUUGAACGUGCUUCUUGUGUAUCCUGCUUGUAGCAAAUGAAAAUAUUAUGCAUCAGAAGCUGACUGCCGCACGAGUGCGAGGUCUCUCUUUCCCAGCGCGCGCACACUUCUCUCUCUGCGUCUGCUCUUUUCAGCGAGGGGGUGAAUGGACCUGCGCUUUCAGUUAAAACACAGAUGUGUUGCUUCUCUAAUUUUACAUCUCCUGGAUACUUCUCCUGCUGCCACGUGCCCUGUCGAAAAGGCCUCCUUCGGCGAUACUUCCGGUGAGUCUUCCUGUUUUCAACCACUCCGAAUUUGUUACACAUAUCCAUGGAGCAUUUCACAGUUAAGUAGACAUCCCAAUAUACUCAGCCCGGUUUCUGUUUCUGCCAAACCCUUGUCUCCGUCUUUGCCCAGCCAACAAUAUCCUCUGCCUUCUUUCCACUGUACUCCCCCGAACCCUCCAACUCACGCAGGGUCCGGGUCGCCGUAUCGGCUCACAUAAAACAAAGAACUCCCCUCCCCCUCUGCAGUUCCUGAGGCCCUCUUUAUACUCCUCCUUCUCUUCAUACUGCCCAAUCCACGAUCGCCCCGUUCAUCUAUCCACCUGCGAUCAAUAAAACCCUGAUUUCCCUUCCCGGAGUUCCCGGUGUUUGAGAAUUAUGGUCCGGGCGGAACCAAUCUCCGUCAUUUUUUAGUUCCGCCCUUACAAAGUCACUCCGUGACACCAGCAAGGAACACACACAAAUACUCUGCUGUAAGAUUCCUGCAGUAUCAGUGCAAGUACCAUCACUUAAAAAUUAGUGAUGGUACGUCACUGAAAAAUUAAAGGUUUCCAUUUGCUGUUAUCUGUCUCUAUAAACU
ensembl:lncRNA